rnacentral:rRNA from 1 species
GCCGGAUGCUCCAGUUGACCGCAUGGUCCUCUGGGAAAGCUUUUGCGGUAUGGGAUGGGGUCGCGUCCUAUCAGCUUGAUGGCGGGGUAACGGCCCACCAUGGCUUCGACGGGUAGCCGGCCUGAGAGGGCGACCGGCCACAUUGGGACUGAGAUACGGCCCAGACUCCUACGGGAGGCAGCAGUGGGGAAUAUUGCACAAUGGGCGCAAGCCUGAUGCAGCGACGCCGCGUGCGGGAUGACGGCCUUCGGGUUGUAAACCGCUUUUGACUGGGAGCAAGCCCUUCGGGGUGAGUGUACCUUUCGAAUAAGCACCGGCUAACUACGUGCCAGCAGCCGCGGUAAUACGUAGGGUGCAAGCGUUAUCCGGAAUUAUUGGGCGUAAAGGGCUCGUAGGCGGUUCGUCGCGUCCGGUGUGAAAGUCCAUCGCUUAACGGUGGAUCCGCGCCGGGUACGGGCGGGCUUGAGUGCGGUAGGGGAGACUGGAAUUCCCGGUGUAACGGUGGAAUGUGUAGAUAUCGGAAA